rnacentral:tRNA from 1 species
AGGGGCAUAGUUCAACGGUAGAAUAGAGGGCUCCAAAACCUUUGGUGUGGGUUCGAUUCCUACUGCCCCUGCCA